rnacentral:lncRNA from 1 species
GGUUUAUAUGUGUGAAAAAAGGGGGGUCAGACUGGUCUGGCUCCUUGCUCAGUAUGAGGCCCCAAAGCUGCCAAAUUUGUCUCUUCUACUACCUGUCUACCCCCCCCAUCCAAAACAUUAUGCACUGACUCCUUGCUGCAAUUCAAAACAGGGCUCCUCUUCCUGCCUUCCAGAUUAGUGGCAGGUUCAGUUUAAGGACUUACAGAAAGGAUUAUUCCCAUCUCACACAUAUUUCCUUAGCUGUGGAGUAGUCACCAAAGAUAAAGCUGUGAAUCCAUAGGGGGUUUCCUAGAAUGAGCUAAGGCUACCACAUUCACACAGAGCCGGAGGAAAUGAAGGGUCAAAUCAGAGGACAAUAGGAGGUGUGAGUUCUGUGCUCCAGAGAAACCAAGGCCCUUGGAGCAGCCACAGAACCAUCUUCCCACUGCCCCACCUGAUGUUUUGCCCAGACAAAGGUACUACACAUGCACUAGCUCUGUCCUAUCUGGUUGCUCUCCACCUUAUCGUCCUUGCUGGGUUUGUUGAUCCUGCCUGGCUGGCGUAAGAGGGAUCUGGGCUGAGCACCAAGAUAGCCUGGCUUGAUGCCAGCUCCUUACAUAACAGCAGUGAGUGGCUUGUGUAAUCUGAAAUGUGUAGUGUGUGCAUGGAUAAAGAACAUUGGGUGCUGGGAAAUAGGGAGGUUAUGUCAAGUGCACCUGCAACCUGCUUCAUAGUACUUCCCACCUGGCAAAACCUUGCUUUGUCUCACCGUACUUAGGGUUCAUAUAAUUGUGAUAAGAUAAGACAGCAGAAUCAACAUCUUUGGUGCAAUUCUGAAACAGGGAGCUUCACAGGAACACUACCAAAACAAAUACAAACUUGGGCAUGUUAGGGUAGAAAUAUAUACAGUAGUGGUCUUGGAGAAGGGUGGAGAUGCAUUUGCUCUACACACACACACACACACACACACACACACAAUUUCAGUCCACGUACUCUCAAAUUUAUUCUUUGUCAAAGCAUUUGUCACUCUGGAUUACAAAAGGAAGGAUAUUAUCUUUUUUUUUGAGGCACCACCACCAAAUUGAUGGCACAGCAAGGUACCAUCAGGUUGUGCCCAGGAAGACGAAAUGAAUCCCUAGCCGGAAUUAAGAUUGCCGGAAGAAAUAUCAACAACCUCAGAUAUGCAGAUGACACAACAAUGAUGGCAGAAAGUGAGGAGGAAUUAAAGAACCUUUUAAUGAGGGUGAAAAAGGAGAGCGCAAAAUAUGGUUUGAAGCUCAACAUCAAAAAAACAAAGAUCAUGGCCACUGGUCCCAUUACCUCCUGGCAAAUAGAAGGGGAAGAAAUGGAGGCAGUGAAAGAUUUUACUUUAUUGGGCUCCAUGAUCACUGCAGAUGGUGACAGCAGCCACGAAAUUAAAAGACGCCUGCUUCUUGGGAGAAAAGCAAUGACAAACCUAGACAACAUCUUAAAAAGCAGAGACAUCACCUUGCUAACAAAGGUCUGUAUAGUUAAAGCUAUGGUUUUCCCAGUAGUGAUGUAUGGAAGUGAGAGCUGGACCAUAAAGAAGGCUGAUCGCCAAAGAAUGGAUGCUUUUGAAUUAUGGUGCUGGAGGAGACUCUUGAGAGUCCCAUGGACUGCAAGAAGAUCAAACCUAUCCAUUCUUAAGGAAAUCAGCCCUGAGUGCUCACUGGAAGGACAGAUCCUGAAGCUGAGGCUCCAAUACUUUGGCCACCUCAUGAGAAGACUCCCUGGAAAAGACCCUGAUGUUGGGAAAGAUGGAGGGCACAAGGAGAAGGGGACGACAGAGGACGAGAUGGUUGGACAGUGUUCUCGAAGCUACCAGCAUGAGUUUGACCAAACUGCGGGAGGCAGUGGAAGACAGGAGUGCCUGGCGUGCUCUGGUCCAUGGGGUCACGAAGAGUCGGACACAACUAAAUGACUAAACAACAAAAUGUGUGAUUACUGUACUGAAUUUGCAAUAACAGCAUGCCCUUACUUAAGGCAAGCUUUUGUGGGCCAGAGUUUUUGAACAAGGACACAGUGGGCGCUUAGAAGUGCCUCACUUUGGUUGCAUCAUGCCCCAGGCUAGAGGGGAAAAGAUUUAAACAAAACGAAGAUUUAUUCUGGAGAAAGUGAUUCAGCCAUAUAAGAUGCCCUGACGUGCCCCCAAGGCCACCUGAGGUGAACAGCAGUAACCUCAGCGCUGCCCUAGACCUGCCCCAUCUUGUUUUGCCUCCCUCACUGCACUUUGCUCGCACAUGUGCUUGUCUGUUACAACCAUUUCCUAGAAGGUCAGAGUAAAUUAUUACCUCACAGGAACGCUGCCAGCUGACCAAGGGGAGGAGGCGAAGCAACAGUACAGGAAAAGGAGAGGGCCGAGGUAACGCUACCAGAGAGCAAGUCAGAGUUGGGAGAGAAUCAAAACUAGGCUUGCCAACAGGCAGAGCAGUCCCAAGCCCAGAGCCCGAAAUAGUUAUAGGCUUCAAAACUUCUGCAGAAAAGAACACAUUUAACACAAAACAACAACAACAUAGCUCUUGCUUGCGUUGCUGGGUUUUCACUGGGUUUGAAGGAAGAUCGGAAGGCAAAAAGUCUUUCUCCAAUUGGUCUUUCUCCAAAAUAAGUGUGACUAGGACUGCAGCCUUAAACUAAAUAUGGCCCUGUCAAUGGUGACUGAGCAUGCUAUGCUGAACUGAAGGUGGAAUCUGAGCAAACAUCCUGAUUUACCGUACUUCCAGGAGGCAGCUCAAUUUUCUGGUGCCUUCGCAUUAAUCACCAUUCCUGUUUGCCUCCUACUUUACAUUUGGGCUAAUUUUAGAGGGUGUUUUGUAUUUGUCAGUGUAAGUUGCUGGAGAUCCUGCAGCUUUCAGCCACCUCCACUGAGUUUCCAGAAAUCAAUUACUGUAUCCGACAGUGCAACUCAGAAGUACGCCCUGUUAAGUUCAGUGAGACUCACUCCUAGGUAAGCUGGUACAGGAUGGCAUCUUGAGGGCAGGACAGUUGCAUCUUCACUCUAGGAGUUUGCGAAUCAAGGUAGUGGCGGACCUUGAGGUCUCAAAUUUCAGCAGCAAAUCUCUCGCUCCAGUACCUGAUUCCCUCAGUAAGCAAUCAGUUCAGUCUGCUGGCAAAAGCAAUCUUUCCCUUCCUCCAUGUGGGGAGGAAAAGAGACAGAGAAAAGUCCCAGUCCCUUGGGGGCUCUGGCCCCACCAACUGCAUGAUACCUUAGCAUCCAUGAGAAUGCAUUGACAAGAGAGACAUCUCUGCCCCCGCAGAGAAAUGGCAAGCCUUUUUAAAAUGAUUUUCAAUUUUAUACAUUUCAAUCAUUUUACAAUCAUUUUAACGUUUCAAAACUUGACUUCCUUCACCCUCUUUCUGUGGUUCCUUAGAUUUGUUUUUAAUAUUUUCCACAUAUCCAAAUUAAGUUAAUUUGCUCAUUUGUUCAUCUACUUUGAAUAUAUUCUCUUACAAAACUGCAGGUUAUUACAAUAAUCCUGCAAAUGUUCUUAUCUGUUUACAGUUUCUUUGUAAAUAUUCAAUAAACCACUUCCAUUCUUUU